rnacentral:rRNA from 1 species
CCAGGGCUUAAAUGGGAAAUGACAGGGUCAGAGACGCCCCCUUCUUCGGACAUUUUUCAAGGUGCUGCAUGGUUGUCGUCAGCUCGUGCCGUGAGGUGUCAGGUUAAGUCCUAUAACGAGCGCAACCCCUACCGUUAGUUGCCAGCGAGUAAUGUCGGGGACUCUAACGGAACUGCCGGUGCAAACCGUGAGGAAGGUGGGGACGACGUCAAAUCAUCACGGCCCUUACGUCCUGGGCCACACACGUGCUACAAUGAAAAUUACAAAAAGUUACGAAAUAAUAAAUUUAAGUGAAUCUUUAAAAAUUUUCUCAGUUCGAAUUAUAAACUGAAACUCGUUUAUAUGAAGUUGGAAUCACUAGUAAUCGCAAAUCAGAACGUUGCGGUGAAUAUGUAUCUUGGCCUUGUACACACCGCCCGUCACAUGCAAAGAAUUAAUUUUACUUGAAGUUUAAUUUUUAUAUAGUGUUGUGUAUAAUAUCAUAAUAAUUAAAAAAACCAUUGAGAAAUUAAUAAUUUGGAUGAAGUCGUAACCAGGUAGCC